rnacentral:rRNA from 1 species
GGACGGCAGCACGUACUAGUGNCGACUAGUUAUGGUUGGCGAGUAGCGGACGGGUGAGAUAGACCAUCGGAACGUAUCCAGUUGAGGGGGAUAACCUAGCGAAAGUUAGGCUAAUACCGCGUAAGCUUGAGGAAGGAAAGCAGGGGAUCUUAGGACCUUGCGCGAUUGGGGCGGCCGAUGACUGAUUAGCUAGUUGGUGGGGUAAAGGCCUACCAAGGCGACGAUCGGUAGCCGGCCUGAGAGGGUGACCGGCCACACUGGGACUGAGACACGGCCCAGACUCCUACGGGAGGCAGCAGUGGGGAAUAUUGCACAAUGGGCGAAAGCCUGAUGCAGCAACGCCGCGUGAGGGAUGACGGCCUUCGGGUUGUAAACCUCUUUUAGCAGGGAAGAAGCGAAAGUGACGGUACCUGUAGAAAAAGCGCCGGCUAACUACGUGCCAGCAGCCGCGGUAAU